UUUUGGUGAGUGCACCCUGCGGGAAAACGGCCUGCACUUGUGGCACCACUGUGCUGGACACCAUGCCGCCCUCGGGUCCGAUGGCAUGCACCUCUUGGCGUAUGCGUGAAACCACAGCAAAGUAUUGUGGGAAGUCAUAGAAAUAACAAACAAAUUAACAACAAUUGAAUACGUUUGCCUUCAUAAGUUUGCCGAUGUUUACCUUCGGGCUCAAAACAUUGUUGGAGCACAUCGUGCAUGAUCUCUUCGGAAUUGUCGAUUGUGUGUUCUCGCCAGGUUUCGCCAUUAUCUGAACGCAAUAUGAUGAUUUCACGUUCUUUGCCGCGGAGCGAUGCGAAAUGUGGUACUUCCAUGAUUACGGGACCAAUAAACUUGGUGGACACAGGACCCAACUCCAACACACGGCUGGCCAAAGCUUCGCCCUCCAUUAGCUGCGGAGGAUGCAUGGUGCGUUGGGGUUUCACAUAACGGCAAGUCACACGCGUCGGCUGGCAAGUGGAGCGCGAGGGUAUAAUCAUGCGCACGCCACUGUGACGGCAGCCACGCAUGGCGCCUCCACGUGCAUCCACCAGAAACGAUACAAGGAAACUGUAAGAUAAACGAAAAUGUUGAUGUUCAGAAAACGUUAUAAAUUGCGAAGAAUUCGCACUACACCAAUUACACCUAUCAGACAAAUCCAAUUGAAUGUUGUACGAUAUAAUGAACUAAAACGAUGUUUGGUUUACCUUUUCCACGAAAGCUUUCGGCUGCUUGUAAAUAGAGUUUCAUAAGUGAAUUAUUUGUUUUACGAUUUUUCGAUCUUUUGAAACUCACCCCAUAUGCUUUUGUUCGUCAUUUAAGCCGUUGCCCAUAUAAAUACCGUCCACAAAUGAUUUCCCAACACCAUGCACUUGAGCUUUGUGUGGACUUAUAAGCUCCUCUGCGAUGGCCUGCUGUUGCGACGGAGCUCCGACCCCACCAGCAUACUCAGCGCUGUGGGUCAUCAUGCGAUUGGAGUCGAUGCGUUCAUCACGUGUCACAUCGAUUGGCAAGGAGUCAUCGCCUAAGGAUUUCAUUUCAUCAACUGUCAAAUAACGGUAAGGCUGAUCGGAUAACAUAUUAUCUUCGCCUGGUGAUGGUUGGUAUGUAGUGUUCAAUUGCGGUGUCGGAGCGAAAAGUGCAAAAAAAUUGAAGAAUUUGAAGAAACAUAAAUAAAUAUAUGCAAAUAAUUCCUUUCGAUUUGAAUGAUAAACACACAUGCAUAAUCAAUAAUCUGUCGGAUUAAAUAUGAAAGCUGAUAACACAUUUGCAGUAAAAUUAAAAAGAAACUCAACUGAGGAUUAUGUAUUGAUUUGAUUGAAAUGAACGCACACAGAAAUGGUGAUAACGGAUAAUUAACAGGAAUAGAGUCCUAUAAAAGCCAUUUCGAAAGCUGUGAUGUCCGAAGUGCUCAUGUUUGGCUCCAUGUUUGCCCACGUGAUAAUGGUGUGUUGGUGCGCCACUUGGCGGCGACGACAGUUGCGACGGUGGGCUGUGGUGGUGGUUGUGAUGUUGUUGUUCCUGAUGCUGC